GUGUUUAGGUAAUCGCUGCACUUUAUUGUGUAGAGGAAAGUCCAUGCUCGCACAAGCUGAGAUGCUUGUAGUGUUCGUGCCUAGCGAAUUCAUAAGCUAGGGUAGUUUGGGUCUUAUCAACCUGGACUAACGGCAGGAUAAACACCUAAGUCUUUUUAAAGAUAUGGUGUGAGGUCCUUGAAAGUGCCACAGUGACGUAGUCUGAUUGGAAACAAUGAGAGUGGAACGAGGUAAACCCCUCGAGCGAGAAACCCAAAAUAUGGUAGGGGCAUCUUCUCUUUCGGAAAUGAACGAAUAGGAAGAACAGGGAAAAUUCCUUGUAGAUAGAUGGUUACCACCGGAGUACGAGGUUCAUCACCGUUUGGAGUACAAAGGUACAGAACAUGGCUUAUCAAA
rfam:Bacillus alcalophilus ATCC 27647 = CGMCC 1.3604 strain AV1934 contig00030, whole genome shotgun sequence.